rnacentral:rRNA from 1 species
GUAGGGAAUAUUGGGCAAUGGAGGCAACUCUGACCCAGCCAUGCCGCGUGCAGGAUGACGGCCCUCUGGGUUGUAAACUGCUUUUAUACGGGAAGAAAAAAUACUACGUGUAGUAUACUGACGGUACCGUAAGAAUAAGGAUCGGCUAACUCCGUGCCAGCAGCCGUGGUAAUACGGAGGAUCCAAGCGUUGUCCGGAUUUAUUGGGUUUAAAGGGUGCGUAGGCGGAUCUUUAAGGCAGUGGUGAAAGCCUGCAGCUUAACUGUAGAAUUGCCAUUGAAACUGAAGAUCUUGAAUGUGGUUAAAGUAGGCGGAAUGUAUCAUGUAGCGGUGAAAUGCUUAGAUAUGAUACAGAACACCGAUAGCGAAGGCAGCUUGCUGAACCAUUAUUGACGCUGAGGCACGAAAGCGUGGGGAGCGAACAGGAUUAGAUACCCUGGUAGUCC